rnacentral:piRNA from 1 species
GUAUUUACAACCUUGUUAUUGUUUUAUGUG